ACAUGUUCCAUUGGCAAGCAACAAUCAUGGGGCCUACGGAUAGCCCUUAUGCAGGGGGUGUAUUCUUGGUUUCUAUUCAUUUUCCUCCUGAUUAUCCGUUCAAGCCACCUAAGGUUGCAUUUCGAACUAAGGUUUUCCACCCUAACAUCAAUAGCAACAGAAGCAUUUGUCUGGAUAUUCUUAAAGAGCAGUGGAGUCCAGCAUUGACCAUAUCUAAGGUCCUGUUGUCCAUCUGCUCUCUAUUGACAGACCCAAAUCCAGACGAUCCUCUUGUACCGGAAAUUGCUCAUAUGUACAAGACUGACAGGUCCAAAUAUGAGGCCACUGCUCGUAGCUGGGCACAGAAAUAUGCUAUGGGAUAAUAGCGAAAGUGUCACUGGGCAUGUCAGAGACUUUUGUAGCUGCACCGUCUUAAUUGUGCUUGGGUGAAAGAAUAAAAU